rnacentral:rRNA from 1 species
AGGACGAACGCUGGCGGCGUGCUUAACACAUGCAAGUCGAACGGAAAGCGCUCUUCGGAGUGACUCGAGUGGCGAGCGGGUGAGUAACACGUGGGUGAUCUGCCCUGCACUCUGGGAUAAGCCUGGGAAACUGGGUCUAAUACCGGAUAGGACUACGGGAUGCAUGUUCUGUGGUGGAAAGCUUUAUGCGGUGUGGGAUGGGCCCGCGGCCUAUCAGCUUGUUGGUGGGGUGAUGGCCUACCAAGGCUGCGACGGGUAGCCGGCCUGAGAGGGUGUCCGGCCACACUGGGACUGAGACACGGCCCAGACUCCUACGGGAGGCAGCAGUGGGGGAAUAUUGCGCAAUGGGCGAAAGCCUGACGCAGCGACGCCGCGUGGGGGAUGAAGGCCUUCGGGUUGUAAACCCCUUUCAGCAGGGACGAAGCGAAAGUGACGGUACCUGCAGAAGAAGCGCCGGCUAACUACGCGCCAGCAGCCGCGGU